AAGAAUUUAAUUUAUAAAUAAUAAAUUAAAAAUUUCAACCAAAUAAAGUUCGAAAUUAUGAUUUGUUUGUAAGUCAGAACUAUUGUAUGAAUAUAUAGGACAUACUUUUCAGACUUGUUUCUGUAAAUAAAUAAAAUGGUCACACAUGUUAUAUCAUCCGACAGUGGCGAUGCAGUAUAAAAUACAUCGUCAUAGUCAUUAAUGGCUUCAAAUAAAUUAUUGUAAUCAAGUCAUUCCUUUUCUCCUAUGUAUCAUGCCAAGGUAUUAAAUUUUUUUAUAUCAAAUUUUAGUAUAUAUUGAGUAAAAUAUGUGACGUCAACUUCCAUUAGAUUAUAUUUAUAAAUGUAUUUUAUAUUAGAAUUAUCAUAAUAUGAUUUAAAUAUGGCUUACUAAUUUUAAAAUAUAUUAGAUAAAAAUAAUUUUGUGACGGUGCGAUUUAUGUGAUUCUACAAUUAAAACUGUUAGGAAAUAUUAAUUUUGGAUUAAAAUAUCCGGCUUAUUAAUCUUAAAAUAUAUUAGAUAAAAUUAAUUUUAUGACGGUGCGAUUUAUAGAUUCUACAAUUAAAACUGGUAGGAAAUAUUUAUUUUGGAUUUAAAAAAAUCAUACACAUGUGAAAAACAGAAUUUGUUUUGGAUUUAAAAAAGGAAUUAUAAAUAUGCAAGUAGAUAUCAGUUGCUUUAUAGAAUUAGAAGUUAAUUUUGUUCUAAUCCAACGGUUCUUAUUUGUUCAAUAUACAAUACAACGGAUGAUAAGCCUUUGGACCAUGUGACCAUGCGACCAAAUUAUCUCUCUUACGCUUAAUAUAUAUAAGUAUAUAAUAUGUUGACUGUAUACUGAACUAAUACUUUUAGUAAAUAUUUUUCUAGGAAGAAAUUUGAAUAUAUAUAAUAUUUAUUAAAAAAAUUAAAUAAUUUUUUUUUAAAGAUGGUAUCAACUAUACAGAUCUAGAAUCUAAAAACUGGCGAUCAUAAAAGCAAAGAGUUUCGACGUAUAACUGAUGAGAUUUUAUAUCGAUUUAAUUCUAAUAUAAAAAAUGAGAUACAAAAUAAGCAAAAUGAGUAAUUAUUUUGCAAGAAAUGGACAAUAAUCCGUCCGUUGGAAUAAGGGUGUGACAAAGAAAUAAUAACAAUACUAGCUGAGGAGCUCGAGCAAAAGAGUGUUGUUGAGUUAAAGAUGUUGCACGCGAGUCACCAGUAAUACAAAUUUAGUGAGUCAUAUAAAUACAUAUAGUGAUUAAAUAUUAAAAAUGCUUUCACAUAUAUUCUCUCUUAAAUUAAUAAACGGGUGACAGCGCAAAUCGCACCAUUUUUCCCUUUUCUAGGGUGUAUGGUUAUUAGGACCAUUCUCUGAUGAGAAAUAUUUGUAACUAAAUACUGCGAGGCCUAAUAAAAAAAUAAAAAAAUAAAAAAUAAAUAAAUAGUGUCAGACCGAACAUGCAUCAUAUAUAAAACACUCUUUUCGAAGAGUAUUAUCCAGCGGAUCAUGAUUGUCUGGUAUUCAGAUAGCAAAAAAGAUAUCUCAUCUCGAUAUAAAAAAAAGGAAUGGAUAAAUAAGCUCCAAACUUUACUAUUUAAGCUUCAUUUCAAUUUUUUUAUUUACCCAAAUAGCAUAAUCACCUAUAACAUGGAUGAAACAUGUGUAGAAAGCAUGGCUAAAUGUGAUAUAAAAUAUGGAAUUAGAGCUUAAAUAGUAAAAUGUGGAGCUUAUUAUUAUUUUGCCAAUGUUAUAAAACUUUAUAAAAGAAAAGAAGAAGUUUAUAAAAGAAAAGAAGAAGAGGUAAUAUUCUGACAGAGUAUUAAGCGCACAAUUCUUAUUCAGAUAGUUAUCUAUAACUCAUCUGUACAAGGCUAUUUAUAGUAAAAAUCAGAUACAUCAGUAGUAUGAACAUAAGCUGUUAACCGUGUGUUGAGAGGAUAAAAUGGUAGGCUAUUCAAUUACAUGGUAUUGGUAAAUGAGUUGACAGCUCCUUCUUUGACAAUCACACGCGUAGUUCAUUUAUAACACUCCCCCUUGAUUGUCAAUGUGGGUUAUUAUUACAAGGAUUGACUGCCUCGUUAAAACCUUGCAAGGAAAAACCCAAUGGGAUAAAAAACCUUGACGAAGGAAAAAGAGUACAGCCUCCCCCUGAAUAAAAUGUCUCACAUGUUGAUAUCUUGAUGUAGCAAACCUUUUAAUCUCCGCAUACCCAUAUUAUUUCGCAGCUUCUCAAAUGUUGAUGUAGGUAGUGACUUCGUAAGUAUAUCCGCCAAAUUAUCGCAUGAGCGAACUUGUUGUACAUCAAUAUCACCAUUUUCUUGAAGUUCAUGAGUAUAGAAGAAUUUUGGCAAUAUGUGUUUUGUUCGAUCUCCUUUAAUAUAUCCUUCCUUUAGUUGUUUAAUGCAGGCUGAGUUGUCUUCAAAUAAUACUGUGGGGCUAUUUGAGAUUCCUGAUAAUCCGCAUGAUUCUCGAAUAUGUUGAAUGACAGACCUUAGCCAAAUACAUUCUCUACUUGCUUCAUGAAUUGCUAAUAACUCUGCGUGGUUUGAUGAAGUUGCAGCCAUAGUUUGUUUUGUAGAUUUCCAAGAAAUAGCAGUACCACAAUAUGUAAACAAAUAUCCAGUCUGUGAUCGUCCAAAGUGAGGAUCUGACAUGUAUCCAGCAUCUGCAUAUCCAGUUAGUUGUGAUCUUGAACUGCUUGGAAAGAAUAACCCAAGAUCAAUUGUUCCCCGAAGAUAUCUGAAUAUAUGUUUGAUUCCAUCCCAAUGCCUUUUAGUAGGGUCAGAACUAAAUCUCGCCAACAGGUUCACUGCAAAUGCAAUAUCAGGUCGUGUGUUGUUUGCGAGGUACAUGAGAGCGCCAAUUGCACUGAGAUAUGGAGUCUCAGGUCCAAGAGCCUCUUCAUCUUUCUUUCUAGGACGGAAAGGAUCCUUUUCAACCUCAAGUGAUCGAACAACCAUUGGUGUGGUUAGUGGAUGAGCUUUGUCCAUGUAGAAUCGAUCAAGAAUCUUUUCAGUGUAGUUCGAUUGAUGAACAAAUAUUCCUGAAGAUAAGUGCUCCACCUGUAUACCUAAACAAAAUCUUGUCUUUCCAAGAUCUUUCAUUUCAAACUCAUUUUUCAAAUAGUUAGCAGCAUUAGUAAUAUCUUCAGUAUUACCGAUAAUAUUCAAAUCAUCCACAUAUACAGCAAUAAUAACAAAACCAGCUGAUGAUCGUUUAAUGAAAAUGCAAGGACACACUUGAUUAUUAACAUAUCCAUCAUUCAAUAAGUAUUCACUAAGCCUGUUGUACCACAUACGACCAGAUUGUUUCAAACCAUACAAUGAUCGUUGUAAUUUAACAGAAUAUAAAUGUCGAGGCUUAGUGUCCUCUAUAUUUAAUCCUUCAGGGAUUUUCAUAUAAAUAUCACUAUCAAGUGAUCCAUAUAGGUAUGCUGUCACGACGUCCAUCAAACGUGUUUCUAGUUUUUCCAUACAAGCCAUACCCAUUAGAAAACGAAAGGUAACUCCAUCCAUCACAGGAGAGUAUGUUUCCUGGUAAUCGAAACCAGGUCUUUGAGAGAAUCCCUGGGCUACAAGCCGGGCUUUAUACCUCACAAUUUCAUUUCUCUCAUUUCGUUUUCGUACAAAUACCCAUCUAUUCCCAACAGGGACUACCCCAGUUGGAGUUUGGACUGCGGGUCCAAAUACAUUUCUUUUGCGCAAUGAUUGCAAUUCUUCUUGAAUUGCAAUUUUCCAUUUUGGCCAAUCAUCUCUUUGUCGACAUUCUUCCACACUUUGUGGUUCAGGAUCAGAGUUCAUAAUAAUAUCAAAUGCCACAGAAAAAGCAUACACAUCAUCAAUUUCAAUACUCUCACGAUCCAAUAACUUCCCGUUAUGUACAUAACUCAUUGAGAUCUCAUAAUUCUUAGGUACCUUUGCUUCUAUGGAAGCAUUUUCCACUUCUGGGGCAUGUGCCACUUUUGUGGCAAUUUCCUCUUCAGGAGGUUUUGUUACAGCCACUUCAGGGGCUUGAACCUCUUCAGGAGGCAAUACCACUUCUGGGGUAUUUUCUGAAACUUUUGCCACUUCUGGGGCAAUUCCAAUCAAUUUCCGUUUUCGUGGUACAAUAUCUUUUGCACCAAUAGGUCUACCACGCUUUUGGCGUGGCUUUGAAUCACCAAUCAAUUCCUCUGAAAUUGAUUUAUUGCCAGGGAUUUCAAUCCUGGCCGGAGCAUUAACAGCAGGUAUAUAUGACUUCACAAUAUUUCUAGAAUCAUUAAAAGCAUCUGGCAUUUGAUUGGCAAUAUUUUGCAUAUGAAUAAUUCUUUGAACCUCAGAUUCACAUUGUUUAGUACGUGGAUCAAUAGCAUUUAAUCCUGAGGCAUUCCAUGAUAUUUCUGAAUUUAAUUUAUGCAAAAUUUUAUCUCCCCCUAAUGUAGGGAACAUGGAUUCAUCAAAAUGACAAUCAGCAUACCGAGCAGUAAAUACAUCACCAGUUAAUGGUUCCAGAUACCUUAUAAUAGACGGAGAAUCAAAACCAACAUAUAUACCAAUUCUUCUUUGAGAUCCCAUUUUAGUUCUUUGAGGAGGUGAUAUAGGAACAUACACAGCACAACCAAAAACUUUUAAAUGAGAGAUAUUAGGCACUUGACCAAGAACUAAUUCUUGAGGGGAUUGUUUGUGGUAAGCAGAAGGCCUUAUUCUAAUUAUAUUUGAAGCAUGAAGUAUUGCAUGACCCCAAACAGAUAUAGGUAACUUUGCUCUUAGGAGUAAGGGACGGGCAAUAAGUUGAAGUCUUUUAAUUAAGGAUUCUGCUAAACCAUUUUGUGUAUGUACGUGAGCUACCGGGUGUUCGACUGAGAUUCCUACUGACAUGCAAUAAUCAUUAAAAGUUGCAGAUGUAAAUUCAGCAGCAUUAUCUAGUCGGAUUGAUUUAAUGGGAUGAUCAGGAAAUUGAGCUCGUAGUUUAAUGAUUUGGGCAAGUAAUUUUGAAAAGGCCGUGUUUCGGGUUGUAAGUAGGCAUACAUGGGACCAUCUAGUUGACGCAUCAAUUAAAACCAUAAAGUACCUAAAUGGGCCAGAAGAUGGAUGAAUAGGGCCACAAAUGUCACCUUGAAUUCUUUCUAAGAAUUUCGGGGACUCGGUUUGAAGCUUAACUGGAGAUGGUCGGACAAUCAGUUUUCCUAAGGAACAUGCUGAACAAUGAAGUUCAUCUUGGGGUAUUAUCUUUUGUGUUUUAAGCGGAUGUCCUACAGAAUUUUCAACGAUACGACGCAUCAUAGAUACUCCUGGAUGACCGAGUCUUUCGUGCCAAAGGGAAAGUAGUUUUGGGUCUAUGACUUUGGGGAUGUUGACACUAUGAGAUUCAAUAACUCGUAUAUUCGUGAUAUAUAAUCCCGAAGAAACUGAGUGAAAUUUUUCUAGGACCUUUUUAUUGUCAACGGUGUUUGAGGUGAUGAGAAGGUAUUCUUUUUCAUUCUCAUUAGUCGUUUCGACGUGAAACCCAUUAAGACGAAUAUCUUUAAAACUCAGUAGGUUUCUAGUUGACUUGCUAGAGUAUAGAGCCUCUUGUAUGUGUAUGUGUGUCUUAUUUGGUAGAAUAAAACUGGCUUUCCCAAAACCUUCUAUUAUAUUUGAUGUACCCGAUACCGUCCAGACAUGUGAGUUGGUUUUAGUCAACUGUGAGAAGUAUUUCUGACUCUGUAAAAUAGUGUGUGUGGUUGCGCAGUCAACAAUGCAUAUAUCUUCCAUCUCUAUACACAUAUAUAAACGAAAAACAUCUUUAUUAAAAACACACCGAGUACAUAGAACAACAACAUGAAACAAUUACAUAAAACGAGUACAUAAUGAAAACACAUAAAACGCAACGGAAAUAAGUAAAGUAAGACAAUACAUAUGAAGCCUAGUCAUCUAAACCAUAAUAAAGAUUAGCACCAGUGUCUAUUUCAUUUGAGGCCUUAUUGACUGGUUCAUUAACUUGAUUAUAACUAGCAAAGUUUGUUUCCACUCUCUUUCCAGUAUUCCUUUUGAAUGAUUCGUAGAGAUCAACAAGAUGUUUUGGUGUGCGACAAGUACGUUGCCAGUGUCCCUCAGUUCCACACCUAUGACAUAUAUCUCGUUUUUCUCCUUCUUGGGGUGCCUUUCUUUUGUUUGACACUUCACGUUGGCACUUGUUGUAACCAUCACGUUGCCACUUCAGGUGGCCAGAAUGAUAUUGAUUGCGAAACCGACCACGGAAAUUUCCACGUCCACGGUUUCGUCCAUAACCUCGUCCUCCUCUAUGCCCUUUCCCACGUUCAUUCUUCUGGAAUGACGUGUUAUGUACUUCAGGUAACUGGGCAGAGCCUGUGGGACGUAUCUGAUGGUUUUUCAAUAACAACUCAUUAUUCUUUUCAGCCACAAGAAGGAGAGAUAUCAGCUCGCCAUAUUUCUGAAAAUUCCGCUCCCUAUAUUGUUGAGCCAGGAUCAUAGUGUUGGGGUGAAAGGUUGAGAGGGUCUUUUCAAUCAUUUCAGCAUCAGUAAUAUUUUCACCACAUAAAAUUAAUUUUGAGCUUAUCUUGAAAAGAGCAGAAUUAUAUUCAGCUACAGAUUUGAAAUCCUGUAGCCUCAAAUUAAUCCAGUCAUAUCGGGCAGAUGGCAAGUGAACAAGUUUCUGGUGAUCAAAUCUAUCCUUGAGAUUAUUCCAAAGGGUGAGUGGAUUUUUGAUAGUGAGGUAUUCAGAUUUUAGGUCUUCAUGGAUGUGAUGCCUAAGAAAGAUAAUUGCUUUUGCAUUUUGUUCAACAGUUGGGAUUUUUUCUGGGUCAAUAGUAUCUUUUAGGCCAUUAGCACUAAGGUGUAAUUCCGCAUCAAGGACCCAUGACAGAUAAUUAUUUCCAGAAACAUCCAAGGCAACGAACUCUAAUUUUGCAAGAUUCGCCAUUCUGAAUUUAAAAUACGACACAAUAAUAUAACAUGUUGGUAAAUAAAUUAAUUAAUCAUGUGUCACAUAAUAAAUUUAUAAUAUAAAACGAUAAAUAUUAUAAUCAUGCAACAUGAAUCUUUAAUUUAAACAACAAUAUAGGCAAAAUUAAAAACUAUAAUAAUGACAAGGGUGUUUAUAAAAUAAAAUAAAUAAGUUAGAGCGUACCUUCUUCGUUGAAAUAAAACCCCGAUAAAAUCUUGUACUCCUUUAUCGAAAUAAACCCGCACAAAAUCUUGUACUCCUUUAUCGAAAUAAACCCGGAUAAAAUUUUGUACUCCUAUAUCGAAAUGAAACUCGGGCAGAGACUCGUGCUGAUAACGUGUUAUAAAACUUUAUAAAAGAAAAGAAGAAGUUUAUAAAAGAAAAGAAGAAGAGGUAAUAUUCUGACAGAGUAUUAAGCGCACAAUUCUUAUUCAGAUAGUUAUCUAUAACUCAUCUGUACAAGGCUAUUUAUAGUAAAAAUCAGAUACAUCAGUAGUAUGAACAUAAGCUGUUAACCGUGUGUUGAGAGGAUAAAAUGGUAGGCUAUUCAAUUACAUGGUAUUGGUAAAUGAGUUGACAGCUCCUUCUUUGACAAUCACACGCGUAGUUCAUUUAUAACA
rnacentral:lncRNA from 1 species